rnacentral:tRNA from 1 species
GUCUCAGUGGCGCAAUGGUAGCGCGUUGGACUUCUAUACCACUUAUUCUGGUCA